GUUAAGGUUAUUGUUUUCUUGCAAAGAAUACUUUGUGAAAUUGCUAAAUAAUGGCAGGUUUUGGCUUUUAUUGGAGACAUUUUCUUUCUUUCUUUCUAGUUUUUAUACUGCUUUCCAACCAGAGGUUACUGAAGGGCAGGCCAUUCCAGGGCCCACUGCAGACUGCCCACACCAUAAUUUGGUCAGCCAACAGAUGUUCAAGGAUGGGGAUAGACAGACUGGGCCCAGAUCUCUUUAAAAACGUGAAGGUAUGAUACCCAGAAUUGAACAUGAAUCCUCUAGGUGGCAAAUGAUAGCUUUAUCACAUGGUCUAUGGAGAUGGAAAUCUAUAUAACACUUCCAGCUUAUUUAAUAGAGCAGCUAGCCUAUUUAAUAGACGCUUUCUUUAAGAAACUGUAUUUUUUAGAUUGUUAUAAGAAUUAACACUAAUUAUUGAAGUAAUUUGGUUAUUAUUCAUUUAAUUUAAUGCUAUUUCAGCAUACUACAUAAAAAAUGGGCAACAUUUUUUGGGCUCAAGAAUUCA
rnacentral:lncRNA from 1 species